AUUGAACGCUGGCGGCAGGCCUAACACAUGCAAGUCGAACGGUAACAGGAAGCAGCUUGCUGCUUUGCUGACGAGUGGCGGACGGGUGAGUAAUGUCUGGGAAACUGCCUGAUGGAGGGGGAUAACUACUGGAAACGGUAGCUAAUACCGCAUAACGUCGCAAGACCAAAGAGGGGGACCUUAGGGCCUCUUGCCAUCGGAUGUGCCCAGAUGGGAUUAGCUAGUAGGUGGGGUAACGGCUCACCUAGGCGACGAUCCCUAGCUGGUCUGAGAGGAUGACCAGCCACACUGGAGCUGAGACACGGUCCAGACUCCUACGGGAGGCAGCAGUGGGGAAUAUUGCACAAUGGGCGCAAGCCUGAUGCAGCCAUGCCACGUGUAUGAAGAAGGCCUUCGGGUUGUAAAGUACUUUCAGCGGGGAGGAAGGGAGUAAAGUUAAUACCUAUGCUCAUUGACGUUACCCGCAGAAGAAGCACCGGCUAACUCCGUG
rnacentral:rRNA from 1 species